AUUUUUUAGACAUAGGGAACCAUAAGCAUGUCCAGAGACAUGCCAGAGGACGAACAUGUGAGCUGACUGUGAUAGUCGAUGGAGAAAUGAUUCCAACCAUCCAGUACCCCAAAAUACUUGGCGUCACAUUUGACAUCUACUACACAUUCUCCAUACAUGCCACAGCAAUUUGCGAUAAAGCCAAUAGUACAAACAAGGUCCUCAAGUCAUUUGCCGGCAGCACUUGGAGUGCAGACAAAGAAACCUUGUUGACCACGUACAAAGCAAUUGGCCGAUCUGUGAUCUGUCAAAAUGCCGCCAUCCGAACUGCGUCGGGCUGUCUCCUAAGUUAUCAUGUGGACCACCUCCAUCAGCAGACAAAGAUCCUACCAGUGCGAAGACAUAAAUACAUGUUGUCUAAGCAAUACCUUUUGGGUAUUGUCUAAGCAAUACCUUUUGGGUAUCAUCCAAAUCAUCAUCUUGUGGAUAGAUAUCCAUCGCCCAGAAGCCUUGAGGUAGAUCUACCUGAUCUAGAGCGUGAGGUUCAGCGCUACAAGAGAGAACCUCUAGAUCAAGUGGCAUAUGAAGCGGGUCUAGACAACAUUCAUGCUGACACGGUAGCAGAUGCGGUCAAGUCCUUGGAGUAAGACCGCCUCCCAUUGUACCUGAAGAAAUUGACCUCCCCCGGAAAACCAGAGUAGUUCUGGCUCAAUUACGUUCCGGCAGAUGCAGCCGCCUCAACUCAUACAAAUUUUGCAAAUUUUGCUCAUGAACAUUCCACUAAGGAACAGGGGCAAACUUCUCACAUAUCAAUGAGUGCAGUCCGAUUCAAGUUUUAAGCUCAAUGAUAAGGGGCCUCCUUUUUAUAGCCGAGUCCGAACGGCGUGCCGCAGUGCGACACCUCUAUCGAGAGAAGUUUUACAUGGCAUAGUACCUCACAAAUGUUGCCAGCAUUAGGAGGGGAAAACUACCCUUGAAAAGUUUUUCUGAUGGUCUCGCCAGGAUUCGAACCCAGGCGUUUAGCGUCAUAGGCGGACAUGCUAACCUCUGCGCUACGGUGGCCUCCAACUUAUACAGAGCAAGGAUUGAUGCCGACGUGCAAGAUGUAUAUCCCGAUUGUGACCAGGGACCAAACUAUACACUUCACCUGUUUGCCGCCCAGCCAGACCCACUCGACUCAGACCCAGAUCCCUCUGGACGCACCCCAUCUUAGUCGCAGAGUUCCUGGAUCUUGACACUCAACAUCAAGGAUCAAUUAAACGACAGAUAGAACACAACAAACUGCUACAACAACAAAAACAG